rnacentral:rRNA from 1 species
AUACAUGAGCAAAAUCUCAACUUUAUUAGAAGAGACGCAUUUAUUAGAUAAAAAGCCAGUUCAUGCUUUUACAGUAUGAAAAUUGGUGAUUUAUAAUAACUUAGCAAAUCGCAAAGUGAAAACAGGCGAUAAAUCAUUCAAGUUUCUGACCUAUCAGCUUUCAACGGUAUGGUAUUGGCUUACCGUGGCAGUGACGGUUAACGGGGGAUUAGGGUUCGAUUCCGGAGAGGGAGCCUGAGAAACGGCUACCACAUCUAAGGAAGGCAGCAGGCGCGCAAAUUACCCAAUUCUAACAGUUUGAGAGAGGUAGUAACAAGAAAUAACAAUACAAGGCAGUUAAAAUGCUUUGUAAUUGGAAUGAUAGAAAUUUAAACCCUUUUUAAAGUAUCAAUUGGAGGGCAAGUCUGGUGCCAGCAGCCGCGGUAAUUCCAGCUCCAAUAGCGUAUAUUAAAAUUGUUGCAGUUAAAAAGCUCGUAGUUGAAGUUCUGCUGAAAGUAACCGGUCUGCUUUUAAUAAAAGUGGUAUCUUGGUAUGUAUUUAGCAAUGAUGUCCUUUGAAGUGUUUUUUACUUUAUUGUAAUAAAGCAUAUUCAGGACUUUUACUUUGAGAAAAUUAGAGUGUUUCUAGCAGGCUGACGCUUUGAAUACUGCAGCAUGGAAUAAUAAG